CUACGGGAGGCAGCAGUGGGGAAUAUUGCACAAUGGGCGGAAGCCUGAUGCAGCAACGCCGCGUGCGGGAUGACGGCCUUCGGGUUGUAAACCGCUUUCGCCUGUGACGAAGCGUGAGUGACGGUAGUGGGUAAAGAAGCACCGGCUAACUACGUGCCAGCAGCCGCGGUGAUACGUAGGGUGCGAGCGUUGUCCGGAUUUAUUGGGCGUAAAGGGCUCGUAGGUGGUUGAUCGCGUCGGAAGUGUAAUCUUGGGGCUUAACCCUGAGCGUGCUUUCGAUACGGGUUGACUUGAGGAAGGUAGGGGAGAAUGGAAUUCCUGGUGGAGCGGUGGAAUGCGCAGAUAUCAGGAGGAACACCAGUGGCGAAGGCGGUUCUCUGGGCCUUUCCUGACGCUGAGGAGCGAAAGCGUGGGGAGCGAACAGGCUUAGAUACCCUGGUAGUCCACGCUGUAAACGGUGGGUACUAGGUGUGGGGUCCAUUCCACGGGUUCCGUGCCGUAGCUAACGCUUUAAGUACCCCGCCUGGGGAGUACGGCCGCAAGGCUAAAACUCAAAGGAAUUGACGGGGCCCCGCACAAGCGGCGGAGCAUGCGGAUUAAUUCGAUGCAACGCGUAGAACCUUACCUGGGUUUGACAUGGAUCGGGAGCGCUCAGAGAUGGGUGUGCCUCUUUUGGGGUCGGUUCACAGGUGGUGCAUGGCUGUCGUCAGCUCGUGUCGUGAGAUGUUGGGUUAAGUCCCGCAACGAGCGCAACCCUUGUUCACUGUUGCCAGCACGUUAUGGUGGGGACUCAGUGGAGACCGCCGGGGUCAACUCGGAGGAAGGUGGGGAUGACGUCAAGUCAUCAUGCCCCUUAUGUCCAGGGCUUCACGCAUGCUACAAUGGCUGGUACAGAGAGUGGCGAGCCUGUGAGGGUGAGCGAAUCUCGGAAAGCCGGUCUCAGUUCGGAUUGGGGUCUGCAACUCGACCUCAUGAAGUCGGAGUCGCUAGUAAUCGCAGAUCAGCAACGCUGCGGUGAAUUCAUUCCCGGGCCUUGUACACACCGCCAU
rnacentral:rRNA from 1 species